CAUUUAAGAAACUUCAGAUGACUGUCACUUGUAAGUACCAGGAAAUAGAAAACAUUACAUUUUUAAUGUUUCUAUGUUAUAUAUACUUAGAAAUGAAGAUGAUUUUUGUCUCCUUCACAAAAGCAAAACUCCCAAAUGCUAAUUUUUCAAGCUGAAAUGCAAGUAAAUAUAUGAUUUAAAAAUAUGAAGUAUUAAUGCUUAGUAAGUAAAUAUAUUAUGGUCAUAAUUUUAAUUGAUGCAGUGGUUAUCAUCGUAAUCAAGUAUGGUUUUAUAUUAAUAGGAAACUUAAAAUAUAAAGUUUGAAUAGAAACAAAUUGUGUGUGUGUGUGUGUGUGUGUGUGUGUGUGUGUGUGUGUGUGUACACAUUCAUGGGCACAAGUUAUUUGAUAAGAAGCCAUAGAAUGGGAAGAUGGGUAUGAGUAUAAAUAUAUGUCUGGGUAUUAUACAGAUAAAAAAUAAUUUAAAACUGUCUCAACUGAAGAAAGACCCCAUACCAUGUAGUUGCAUUACCAGUAUAAACUAAAAGGAAAUAUCAGUACUGUAAAGUCAUUAUUUUCUCUAAUAAUUGAGGAAAGUAAGACACAAGGAUGUUAAAUAACGUCAAAUUGAUAAUAUAAGAAAAUGAGUAUUUUUUGCCCUGAAUUUAAUUAUACCAGAUAUUUAGUUUAAUACUAUAUUUCCUCAUGGAAUAUUUCAUUUUCUAAGUGGAAAUAAAUUUGGCCACUAAUUUUAGUUUUGUUUCUUUCCACAUAUAUGAAGAAAAAUGAAUAUCCUGAUGUUCCUUGGCCAUUAAGAUUUCGUAUUCUGCAUGAAAUUGCACUAGGUGUAAAUGACCUGCACAAUAUGAAUCCUCCUCUACUUCAUCAUGACCUGAAGACUCAGAAUAUCUUAUUGGAUAAUGAAUUUCACGUUAAGAUGAAUGCCCAAGAGUGUAACUGCUCGGUCAUAUGGGUCUUUCACAGAGCAAAAGUUGUAAUUUAUUUCUUUUAUGAUCAUGCUUUUGCUGUCAUGUCUAAGCACUCUUCACAAAGCCACAGAUUGCAGAUCUUGGCUUAUCAAAAUGGCGCAUGAUGUCCCUCUCACAAUCACGAAGUAGUAAAUCUGCACCAGAAGGAGGGACAAUUAUCUAUAUGCCACCUGAAAACUAUGAACCUGGACAAAAAUCAAGGGCUACUAUCAAGCAUGAUAUAUACAGCUAUGCAGUUAUCACAUGGGAAGUCUUAUCUAGAAAACAGCCUUUUGAAGAAGUCACCAAUCCUUUGCAGAUUAUGUAUAGUGUGUCACAAGGACAUCGACCUGACACUAAUGAAGAAAGUUUGCCAUUUGAUAUACCUCAUCGAGCACUUAUGAUCUCUCUAAUAGAAAGUGGAUGGGCACAAAAUCCAGAUGAAAGACCGUCUUUCUUAAGUUAGUGUACAGUUUUAAUCUGGGCCUUUUGAAUUACAAAAAUAAUAAAUACGCUGUAAAUAAAAUAUUCCUUGAACAACUACGAAAGU